rfam:Camelus ferus unplaced genomic scaffold scaffold12191, whole genome shotgun sequence.
GGAGGCGGCGGUCAGUGGUAGAGCAUGUGCUCAGCAUGCACAAGGUCCUGGGUUCAAUCCCCAGUGCCUCCA